rnacentral:misc_RNA from 1 species
GAUGAAGAACGUAGUGAAAUGCGAUAAGUAAUGCGAAUUGCAGAAUUCAGUGAGUCAUCGAAUCUUUGAACGCACAUUGCGCCCUGUGGUAUUCCGCAGGGCAUGCCUGUUCGAGCGUCAUUUCAACCCUCAAGCCCCGCUUGGUGUUGGGCCCCGCCCGCUGUGGCCGGCCCUAAAGACAGUGGCGGCGCCGCCUGGCCCUCAGCGUAGUACAUCUCUCGCUCCAGGGUCCGGUGGCCGCCUGCCAGAACCCCCCAACUCUGUGGUUGACCUCGGAUCAGGUAGGGAUACCCGCUGAACUUAAGCAUAUCAAUAAGCGGAG